rnacentral:rRNA from 1 species
UACAGAGGUCUCAAGCGUUGUUCGGAUUCAUUGGGCGUAAAGGGUGUGUAGGUGGCGCCGUAAGUCGGGUGUGAAAUUUCGGAGCUUAACUCCGAAACUGCCAUUCGAUACUGGCGGUGCUUGAGGACUGGAGAGGAGACUGGAAUUCAUGGUGUAGCAGUGAAAUGCGUAGAGAUCAUGAGGAAGACCAGUGGCGAAGGCGGGUCUCUGGACAGUUCCUGACACUGAGACACGAAGGCCAGGGGAGCAAACGGG